rnacentral:rRNA from 1 species
AGCAGCCGCGGUAAUUCCAGCUCCAAUAGCGUAUAUUAAAGUUGUUGCAGUUAAAAAGCUCGUAGUUGAAUUUCGGGAUUAGUACGUUGGUCGUGCCUUCGGUACGUACUGGUGUUACUGAUUCCUACCUUCUGACGAACCAUCAUGUCAUUAAUUUGGUGUGGUGGGGAAUCAGGACUGUUACUUUGAAAAAAUUAGAGUGUUUAAAGCAGGCUAACGCCUGAAUACAUUAGCAUGGAAUAAUGAAAUAGGACGUUCGAUCCUAUUUUGUUGGUUUCUAGGAUUGACGUAAUGAUUAAUAGGGAUAGUUGGGGGCAUUAGUAUUCAAUUGUCAGAGGUGAAAUUCUUGGAUUUAUUGAAGACUAACUACUGCGAAAGCAUUUGCCAAGGAUGUUUUCAUUAAUCAAGAACGAAAGUUAGGGGAUCGAAGACGAUCAGAUACCGUCGUAG